rnacentral:rRNA from 1 species
UUGAAGCCUAGCGAUAUGUAAGUUAGUGGCGGACGGGUGAGUAACGCGUGGGUAACCUGCCUUGUACUGGGGGACAACAGUUGGAAACGACUGCUAAUACCGCAUAAGCGCACGGUAUCGCAUGAUACAGUGUGAAAAACUCCGGUGGUAUAAGAUGGACCCGCGUCUGAUUAGCUUGUUGGUGAGGUAACGGCUCACCAAGGCGACGAUCAGUAGCCGGCCUGAGAGGGUGAUCGGCCACACUGGAACUGAGACACGGUCCAGACUCC